CUGGAGCACGUCGCCUGUGUCGCCCUUGCAGGGAGCAGCCGCGAAGACAGCUUUCUCAAGGAGGGGACACCGGACUGGGACCAGGGGAAAUGUUUCCCGUGUUCCAGCAUCCAGGCCCGGCUAAUGUUUCCCGUGUUCCAGCAUCCACGUCAGUGGUGGUGUGCUAGGCCCAUGGAGAAAUUCUAAAGGCCACUGAGAAGAGCAGUCACAGAACUGGAUGGGAGGGUAGAGCCCAGCCGCCUUGCCUCAACCUGAAGCCUGGGAAGGAAGCCAACACCCAGAGAGAACAGAGCCAACAGACCAAGAGUUGAAAUUUUAAUUUUUAAAGCAAUCUCUGCACCCAGUGUGGGGCUCGAGCUCAAAACCCCAAGAUCAAGAGUCACACACUCUACCAACGGAACCAGCCAGACACCAGGCAACCCCAGAAUUUUGUCUUUUCAAAAAUGUUACAUAAGUGGAACCAUAUG
rnacentral:lncRNA from 1 species